rnacentral:rRNA from 1 species
UACGGAGGGAGCUAGCGUUGUUCGGAAUUACUGGGCGUAAAGCGCACGUAGGCGGCGAUUCAAGUCAGAGGUGAAAGCCCGGGGCUCAACCCCGGAACUGCCUUUGAAACUGUUUAGCUUGAGGACGAGAGAGGUGAGUGGAAUUCCCAGUGUAGAGGUGAAAUUCGUAGAUAUUGGGAAGAACACCGGUGGCGAAGGCGGCUCACUGGCUCGUAUCUGACGCUCAGGCGCGAUAGCGUGGGGAUCAAACAGG